AAUUUUAAACCGGAUUUGGUGUAAAAUAUUUUCAAUUCAAUUUGUUAUUAAAAGUUUGAAGCCAAUAAACCCACAACAGGAUUUUUGUUUUAAUUUCUUAUCUAAUCAAUAACAACAACUCUACACCCGACUAAGAUUGUCACGCUCUCUCAAGGUAAAUAUCGAAAGAAAACCAUAAAAAGUUUCUUGAAACUAAGAAAAUAAGUCAAUUAUAUUUAAAGUUGAAGUCUUUUAAACUGCAGUUUCAAAUCUAUAAUGAAUUUUAAAUUUCCAAUUUGCAUGUUAUUUACAAAAAUCUGCAAAAUUUCUUUAAGUGUAAAAAUGUAUUCUAUAACUUGUAGGCAAACAGCAAAUAAAUAGGGAUAACGAUGUUGCAACAACAUAAUUAUAUAUGUUUGUUACUUUUCCUUUGUCUUUGCUAUUGGCUUUUCCUCCCUAAAGAUUGUUAUAAUUCUAAGGUUGAAAGUUGUGGUUACUUUCAAGCAAACCGUGACAGUUGCAACAAAUAUAUAUUCAAGAGAUCAGCAAUCGGAAGUAAACAUUAUUGAAAUAUUUAUAUAUAUAGUUAUACAUACAUAUGUAUAUAGGUAAAUUAAAUUGAAGCAUUAAAUAAAAAAAUAAUAAUAACUAGUUCAUUCACUAUUCUUACAAUAAUGAUCUUCACAAAAUUGUUUAUAAAAAAGAAACCGAUUACUUGUUUAUAGUGGUGUUGUAGUUGAAUGAUCAUAUGUGUUUAAACAACUAGCAAGAUCGUCUGCUCAAUCAACUUGAAAUUAAUUUUAAACCAGAUUUUUAUAUAUAUUUUUUUUUUUUAAGCAAACAUUCUAAAUGAUUAUUACAUUAUACAUAAUUUUUUUAUCUUUUUAACCUGUUGUACUCUGGCACUACAUGAAUAUAUAAUUUAUAUAUUUAUUUUUUUUCUUAAAAGUUCUUUAUAGACUUGUUAUAAAAUUAUUCUUGUAUGUUGAUGAUUUCUUGUAGAGAAGAGACGUGAUCAUUUUCAUUUUUCUUCAAUGAAAACGAAACAGGAAAUUUAAAGUUGAACAGGAUGUUGCGAGUGUUUGUUGUUGUUAUUGUUGGGAGUAUGAGUUAAGAGAUUAAUAGUAAUGAUUUAGUUUUAAAUUUAAAAAUUUAAAUUAAUAUUAUUUUAAUUAAAGUAAUUGGUAGUCAGAACAUAGUUGUGUUGUUUUUUAUAAGAAAUGGCGUAGUAGUUUGUAAGAUAAUUAGUAUUCUAGCAGGCGUUCGUUGUAUAAGGGAAAUUAUAGUUUUUUCUUCCAGUGAAAUCAUUAAAUUAUUAAAAGAUUAAAAAAAUUAAGUUAAUUUUAAAAUAAAAUUAUAUAGAAAAAAUAAUAUAUCGUUGCUAUAUCUGGACUAUAGACUAGACUACAUACUAUAUAUUGUAGACCAUAGGUUUAUAGACUGGACUAAUGAUUAGACUAUAGACUAGAUUAUAGUCUAAACUAUGGAUAAGAUUAUACACUAGGCUACGGACUAAACUACACUAGAAGUAGAUAUUAUAUUAUAGGCUAUACUGUAACCUAAACACUAGAUUAUAGCCUGUACUAUGGGCUACAUACCAAACUACAGACUAGACUAUACUAUAUAACAGGCUAUAGAAAAUACUUUAUACUAAACUUUAGACUAAACUAUAGACUAGACUAAAGAAUAUAAUAUAUGCUAGAGUAUAGAAUGAAUUAUAGACUAGCCUAGAGACUAUUGACUUAACUAUAGAUUACACUAUAGAUAAGAAAACAGACUACACUACAAACCAGAAAAUGAAGUAGACUUAGGACUAGACUAUCGACUAGACUAUAGACUAA